rnacentral:lncRNA from 1 species
AUGUGCUUCCUCCCCUUCCUUCUUCUUCUUCCUCCCUUUUCUCCUUCUUCCUCCCUUUGCUUCUUCUUCUUCCUCCCUUUGCUGCUGCUUCUUCUUCCUCCCUUUUCUCCUUCUUCUUCCCCUUCCUUCUCCUCCUUCUUCCCUUUCCUUCUCCUUCUUCCUCCCCUUCCUUCUCCUUCUUCCUCCCCUCCCUUUUCUUCUCCUUCUUCUUCCUCCCCUCCCUUUUCUUCUUCUUCCUCCCUUUUCUCCUCCUUCUUCCUCCCCUUCCUUCUUCUUCUUCCUCCCUUUUCUCCUCCUUCUUCCUCCCCUUCCUUCUCCUUCUUCCUCCCUUUUCUUCUCCUUCCUCCCUUUUCUUCUCCUCUUUCCUCCCUUUUCUCCUUCUUCCUCCCUUUUCUCCUCCUUCUUCCUCCCCUUCCUUCUCCUUCUUCCUCCCCUUCCUUUUCCUUAUUCCUCCCUUUUCUUCUUCUUCCUGCCCUUCUCCUUUUCUCCUUCUUCCUCCCUUUCCUCCUCCUCCUUCCUCCCUUUUCUCCUUCUUCCUCCUCCCUUUUCUCCUUUUUCCUCCCCUUCCUUCUCCUCCUUCCUCCCUUUUCUCCUCCUCCUUCCUCCCUUUUCUCCUCCUUCCCUUUCCUCCUCCUUCUUCCUCCCUUUCCUCCUCCUUCUUCCUCCCUUUCCUCCUUCUUCUUCCUCCCUUUCCUCCUUCUUCUUCCUCCCUUUCCUCCUUCUUCCUCCCUUCCUCUGCCCCACACCUCCCCUUCCUUCUCCUUUUUCCUCCCCUUCCUUCUCCUUUUUCCUCCUUCUUCUUCCUCCCUUUCCUCCUUCUUCCUCCCUUUCCUCCUCCUGCUUCCUCCCUUUUCUUCUUCUUCCUCCCUUCCUCUGCCCCACGGGGUGUAUCACAGCCCAGGAAAGAGGGGUUUGCUCCAUGAGGCUUCCAACAGAGGGUUUCCACCCCCCAGAGUUGGGACUUUGAGCUUCUCCCACCCUCUUGGGGGGAAGGUUUGGGGCAGGGGGGUGACGCAGGAGGCACAUCCCAGCCAUGAGGCACCAUCCUCCUGCCUCUCCCGACCCCCAGCUCCCGGGGCUGCUGGGUUUGGGGUGGAUUUGGGAUGGUUUUGCUCCGUUUCUCCCCGGUCCAGCCGGUUUGCCUCCCCCUUUCCCACCCCCUGCGUGGGGGAGAGGGUUGUGACACCCGUGUCCUCCCACCCCAGUGAACCCCCCCUCCAGCAGCUCUUUCUCUUUGCCCUUGGGGACAGGCAUCUUCUUUUUAGUAGUUUCUUUUCAUUUUUUUGUAUUAUUUUUUUUCUUUUUAAACCAAAGACCCUGAACGUCCACGCGCAUCGUUAG